ensembl:lncRNA
UUUCCUUAUCUUCAAAAUGUGUAUUCUAACCUCUAUCCAUCCUACAAUAUAACUUUACUAUACUAAGUAAAAGCUGAAUCCAUUACAAAGAGAACAUAAUAUAAUCUACGUUUUAACUGCUCAUAGGCAUUAGUUACAGCACUUUUAUUGUAUCUUUGCUUUUGGUUUCAGCUACGAAAUUAUGAUAACAUUCAAUUUACAAGAAUAAGUGAUGGAAUUAAUUUCUAGUGUGGUAACAUGAAUUCUCACAAUCUUUUUUUUCAUUUUACUCCCUGUUCCGUUUACCUAAAUAUUUGUGAAUGUUUUGUCUAAACUUAAAGUAGUUCCCCUAAAACCUCUUUCCAGUGCAUCUCACAGCAAGGCGUUGUCUAAAUUCAAAGUGCUGGAAAAAUUCCACAAGGCCAAGAAAGAUGCAUUUUUAAACGAGGAAGAUGGCAGCAUCAGAUCUGACAGUCCAAACAGUUCUGAGGGAAUGCUUGGGACAAAUGGAAGCUUUCUCAAGUCACAGAAGAGUUCCCAGCCCCUUGCAGAAACAGAUGAAGGUGCUCGUGUAGAAAUGAUGCAGCUUCAAAAAAAUGAUGGUAUUUCUGUCUCCUUAAGCAGAGAUAGCUUGGAAACUAAUGACCCCUGGUAGUUCCUGAAGGAAUGCAUCUUCUUCAAGAGAAAAUUGUCAUUUUGCAACUUUUUGUAAAAUCCAGGCAGUUUUCAUUGAAAUUCAUUUGAUACUCAACAAAGCAGCAGUCAUAUCUACACGGAGACAGCUUUUCUCUGGUGAUCACAGUUACUUUCGUUUGUGAAAACUCUGUCUCCACUGGAGCAGAUGUCCCUGGUAGACAAAGAGCAUAUUCAGCCAAACACCAAGUAUUAUCUGUUGGUAUGAGAGAACAACUGAAAUGAUUAAAUAUCUCAGCCCGGCAGUUUUUGUAUGGGAUAGCUUUCUCCCUCCAUUCUUUCAGUUUGCCUUCCACAUCUUCACAGCGCAAAAUUCAUCAAAAAGACCAUCAGCAUUUAUCAGUCUAUUUUAAUGAUUCAGUGUCAAAUAUUUUGCAUACAAAAUCAUACAAGAUCUCAACAUUACUCUAUUCAGGACAGAGGUGAAGGUUAUCUAAUUAAAUGUGGAAGUACCAGCAAAAGAAUCUUCCCAAAGUGUCAGAUCAUGUAUGGCACCGUUGUAAAGCUGAAGGAAACAAGCUGAACAAGUAAUCUUUGGUUAUUUUUCCUAAAUGCCUCAAUUCUUCGCUUGCAUUAAUUGGUACAUAUUUCAGCAUUUUUGGUGACAAGUUUUGUCUUCAGUGAUUGCAACUCUCUUGAUGCUUCCAAAGCUGAUGUAGAUUGUCAUUCCAUACAUUGGAUGGCCUACUUAAAAUUCUGUCACUGACAAUGCACAAAUAGCAACCAAAAUUUCCUGCAUUCAUUUUGAAAGAAAUUAAGAAUCAGAGUUGGACAUUUAGGAGGAUGUAUGAACCUUUAAAAGCAUACUUCAUCAAUUUCAAGAACACACUGUAUUACUGGACGUUAUGACAGAAAACAUGUUAUGCUGAAGCAAGAUUUUUGUAGUCGACAUAAAGUUUGGUCACAGAAUUCUUGCAGUUUGGCUAUAUGAACUGUGUAAAUCUGAAAAUAUUUA